UCACUUACCUGGAAGGGGAGACACCAUGACCAGGAAGGCUGUUUUCCCAGAGGACGCUCGCCCAUCACAUUCUGGGUGUGCUGACCCUGGGUGUUCCCCGAAUGUGGGACACUCAGCUGCAUGGUUUGUGCUGGUAAGGGACUACAUUCAUGCUUUCUCCUA